rnacentral:rRNA from 3 species
ACAUAAGUAACGAUAAAGCGGGUGAAAAGCCCGCUCGCCGGAAGACCAAGGGUUCCUGUCCAACGUUAAUCGGGGCAGGGUGAGUCGACCCCUAAGGCGAGGCCGAAAGGCGUAGUCGAUGGGAAACGGGUUAAUAUUCCCGUACUUGGUGUUACUGCGAAGGGGGGACGGAGAAGGCUAUGUUGGCCGGGCGACGGUUGUCCCGGUUUAAGCGUGUAGGCUGGUUUUCCAGGCAAAUCCGGAAAAUCAAGGCUGAGGCGUGACGACGAGGCACUACGGUGCUGAAGCAACAAAUGCCCUGCUUCCAGGAAAAGCCUCUAAGCAUCAGGUAACAUCAAAUCGUACCCCAAACCGACACAGGUGGUCAGGUAGAGAAUACCAAGGCGCUUGA